ensembl:lncRNA
AAAGGGGUGACAUUUAAGCUGAGCCUGGAAGGUUGGGGAAGGAGGUGGUAACCAGGCCUACAAGGGAACUGCUGACCCAGGGCCCCAGGAAGUUCUGGAACCGAGCGCCAUCGAUCCCUGCCCCUGCCCCUGCCCCUGCCCUGGGUAGGCAAAGAAGGCACUGCCUGGACCAGAUUCUACAAGCAGGAGGAAGGGACAACUGGCGCUCCAAUUUCCUCGUCUGUACGGAGACUGCCACGCCGUCCACGGUCCUCCUCGUCCGCCCGCUCUCCGUGCUCUGCUGCUGAGACGCAUCUGUUCCCUGGCUCUGCUCUGCCUUAAGUCGGCUUCCGAUGACCUCCAAGAAUGUCCUCACAAGUGACCCUGGGCCUCUGUCUCUGGAAAUGACAGAACACGACUUCUGGUUUCUGCGUCCAACCCUGUUUUCAGCUCCUGUUCCACCUCUUCCGAGCAGCCUGGGCUGACCACCCUCUCUGAAGACGCCUUCGCCAGUCCUUGUGGCAAUGCAGACUGACAGCUCAUUGGCCCCUGCAUAGUUUGUCAGUCUCCUUCACAUCUCUCCCUCUUUCCCCCUCCGCCCUCACACUAGAGGCACGGGUCCGGGGGUGCCUCUCCCUCGUUCGCCCCACGUCCCCAGGCCCAGCACAGGGGCUGGCACAUGCUGGUGCCCAGUCAAGCUGUGCUGCGCUUUGAAUGACUUCUAAGCCCUGUGGCCUUCGGAGAGUCAUUUUCCUUCUGCAAACCCGAGUCUUUUCACCUGUAAGACAGAAGGGCUGCUGCCACUCCAGAAAUGUCUUCCAGGCCUGAGGGCCAUGAAUCUCAGUGCCCCCCUGCCCUGGGUCAACAUGUGCUACACGCUCAACCAACGUGACUCCCCGCUGGCGAACGUCAGUGACCACAGCUAUCGUAAAAUCUGGUCUUUUGUCUCCAAAAGGCAGCUCGUGUCCCCACACCACACUGCCUCUCUGUGGUUAAGCAGGAGCCAAGUAAAAUAGGAAAAGCUGGCAGCUGCUGUCGAGUGAGAGCGGGCAGUGUGUCCUGCGGUCUGCUCCACGCGGAGCCUCAGCCCCUUUGCCACAGCCUUCAGGACAAGCCCAUUACUCAUUUUACAAACGAGGAAAUGGAAGUGACUUCCCCAACUGCCGCCACCUGCAGGGGAGGACUGGAGAAGCGUGCCACGCUUACACGGUGCCGCGGCAGGGCUCCCGGGUCACACUGCCCACGUUCAAACCCCAGCUCUGCCGCUGGCUGGCUGGACUAGCCCCUCGCUGACUCGGUUUUCUUCUCCACAAAAUGGGGUAAUAAUAGCACCAAUGUCAUGGGGAUGCUGUGAGGAGGAAGUGUGUGCAGCUACGUCAAAGGCUGAGCGCAGCCCCGGACACCGAAAGUGGUGUCAGCUGCCACUGUUGUCUCUUCACUCGGCUGUCCCAGUCCUCAGGCUGCUCUAACGAAAACGCCACAGACUGGGCGGCCUAAACCACAGACAGGUAUUUCUCACGGUUCUGGAGGCGAGAAGUCUGAGACCAAGGGGCCGGCAGUGGGUGUUCUGGGAGAGCCCGCUUCCCGGUCCACAGAAGGCUGUCUUCUCACUGUAAGCCCCUGGGUCUCUCUAUCAGAGCACCACUCCUGUCAGCGAGGGCCCCACGCUCGUGACCUAACCACCUCUCAAAGGUCCCGCCUCCUGCUACCAUCACUUUGGACCUUUGGACGUUACGAUUCAACAUGAAUUUUGGGAAGGCGCAAACAUUCAGUCUAUAGCGCCAGAUCUGCUCCCUUACCCGGUGAUUCUCAAAGUGAGGACCCGACCAGCAGUGUUGACAUUACCAUCACCGCCAGGGAACUUCAUAGAAAUGCACAUUCUUGGGCCUCACCCUGAACUCGCUGAAUGGGGAACUCUGAGGGGGGCCCAGCAACCCGUUUUAACAGCCUGUGGGCCCCUCUCCUGCCUGUUCAAGUGUGAGAACGCUGCUUGUCAUCCCUGCCACCCUGCGAAGCAGAACAAAUGCUAGAGGUCAUAUUUCGUCGUCGAUUAUAAGACACACCAUUAUUUCAUACGCCACUGAGACAGAAAGAACGUUGUCAACGAAAUUAUAACACAGUCUUUUCUCAUCACGAUGAUUAGAAGACAUUAUUAUCUCAGAGAUGCUAAAAUGUGAAAAGAAAAUUGCAUCCCGGCGUCAGUGGAAUCUAGCAGUAGGAACAUUUUGAAGGAGGGAAACUACGUUGCUGCUCAUCUCUCCUCUCCGGUGGUUCGCAGCCCUGACUGCACAGAGCACUCACCGGGCUGCACGUUAGAAUUUAAAAAUCCCGGUGUUGGGAUAAUACUCAGAGCCUUGCAAGGAAGAUUUAAAAGAACUGACUGAAGAUGCUCUUGCUCCAUGAAAUGCCUUUCCUGUGCCAGUGGCAAGAGGCACGAGGCCAUGAGGCUGCUGUUCCAACCUGGUCCGCAGUGCCAAUCAGAAAAUGGUGAGUUAUCCAACUGCAGGGAAGGAAACAAUAACCACAACACGUGACACUACCGCAGGCGAACGCAGGGCCAGGCGAUCACUCGUGCUUUCAUGCCGGAGCUCCCCGAGUCCUCCCAGUGACCCCAGGAGAGACUACUGUUGUUAUAACCGCCCUGCUUAGUAGGAAAGAAAGCUGAGCCCAAAGCGGCUAGGCGCGUUGACCCAGUCCACACAGCUAACAGAGGCUCAUGCUAGAAUUCCAGACCACCUGCCUGUCUCUGGAGUCUACAGUCCUUGUCACCGUGCCAUUUAUCCAACAAACAUUCGUGCAGCUGCUCUGGAUCAGGCGCUGUCCCAGCAGAGGCUGCAGUUGACCAAACCCAACACAAAUCCAUGCCCGCACGGAGGGUGAGUUCUAGCGGGGGAGAGCGCGUUAACAGUAAACAUUAAAGUGAAUGCGUACCUGUGGUGAGGACGUCUGUGGAGGGGUCACGUGGCAAGGAGCUGAGAACCGUCCCUAGGAGCUGAGAGCAGCCCCCAGCCAACAGCCAGCAAGAAAAUGGGGACCUCAGUCCUCGAGUCACAAGGAAAUGAACUCUACUGACAGCCACAGGCUCUGAGCAGACCCAGCUCACAGUCUGAGUUCUGCCUCCGGAGAGGCUGAGUGGAAGACCCCGCUAGGCUGGGCCCCAACUUCUGCCCUCAGAACAGGAGGUAACUUGUCACGUGGCAGUGGACAGCCAAGGCGAUGCUGGUAACUACCUCCUGAGGUUGUUAUAACAGGAACGAUCUGCGUGCAAAGUGCUUGGACAGAGCCUGGAACGCGUGAAUAACUAAUACGGGGCAGCGGGGAUGUGAAAAAAUGUACAUGUGUAUAUGAUAUACGUGUGUCUGUGUAUUGUCAAUUGGUCCCAAGAAGAAAAAUAAAGCAGGGAAGGGAAUGGUAGGGAGCACUUAGGAGUGCACACAUGCAUGUGUGUGUGUGUGUGUGCGUGUGUGUGCGUGCGUGUGCGUGUGUGUGUGUGCGUAUGUGUGUGUGUGUGUGUGUGUGUGUGAAGGGGGUGUUCAUUAUUAAACAGGAUGGUCAAGGAAGGUUUUACUGAGAAGGUGAUAUUUGGGUCAUGACCUGAGAGAGGAAGACGGGGAGUUGGAGAGGAAGAAGAGAGGAUAUGGAUUUCGGGGAAGAAUGGUUUCGGGCAGAGGGAGCAGCAAGCUAAGGAAACCGUAGGAGGAACCAGGUUUGUCAGGUGUGAUGGAUCAGAAUAUUCCCUCUCUUUUCCCUCUCUGCCCGCCUGCACCCUCUCGGGCCUCCAGGGCUGCACCAGGCCCCAGCCCACCUGCACCCCCUCGGGCCCCCAGCGCUGCACGGGGCCUCAGCUCUCUUGGUGCUUGUCUUUCCAGGCUCAGUGGCUGCCGGCCCAGAUCCAGCUGGCGUGUGGGCUGCAGGCAGGUGCCAGCAGGCCGGUAGUGCUGUGAGCUGGUGUGCGUGGGCAGGAGGGAGCAGGGUGGACAAGCGCAGGGGAUUAGGGUGACAUCUCAUUACCAGGCCGCAGGCUUUGCCAUGGCCACACUCCCAGGUAGUAAGCCAACGGGCAUCUGUCUGCAGAUGUUAUGCUCAAAGGGCAUGGGGUUGUCCUGACCCCUCAGCAGGUUCUGAGGGACCCCACUGCCGAUGGCCUCCCCCCAGCCCUGGUGAGACAGGCCUUUCCGCACAAGGAAGAUGUUAAUGAAGACGUCAUUUGCCUCCAGGACGGUCUUGGCCUGUCGUCCUCUUGCCGGCCCAGGCCCACCCCCUUCUUCCUGGCUGGGGCUGUUCUUUGUCAGGAGGGAGGCAGCCGGGGCGGCCACCCUUUCUUCUGGGCAUUCCGGUCACCUCCCACAAGGAAGCUGCGUCAGCGCUGCCAGAGGGUCCUUGCAGCCCCGAAAACCCCACAGC